rnacentral:rRNA from 1 species
GACGAACGCUGGCGGCGUGCUUAACACAUGCAAGUCGAACGGAAAGGCCCUGCUCUUGUGGGGUGCUCGAGUGGCGAACGGGUGAGUAACACGUGAGUAACCUGCCCUUGACUUUGGGAUAACUUCAGGAAACUGGGGCUAAUACCGGAUAGGAGCUCCUGCUGCAUGGUGGGGGUUGGAAAGUUUCGGCGGUUGGGGAUGGACUCGCGGCUUAUCAGCUUGUUGGUGGGGUAGUGGCUUACCAAGGCUUUGACGGGUAGCCGGCCUGAGAGGGUGACCGGCCACCUUGGGACUGAGAUACGGCCCAGACUCCUACGGUAGGCAGCAGUGGGGAAUAUUGCACAAUGGGCGGAAGCCUGAUGCAGCAACGCCGCGUGCGGGAUGACGGCCUUCGGGUUGUAAACCGCUUUCGCCUGUGACGAAGCGUGAGUGACGGUAAUGGGUAAAGAAGCACCGGCUAACUACGUG